GCUAUGUUGGCCGGGCGACGGUUGUCCCGGUUUAAGCGUGUAGGCUGGUUUUCCAGGCAAAUCCGGAAAAUCAAGGCUGAGGCGUGAUGACGAGGCACUACGGUGCUGAAGCAACAAAUGCCCUGCUUCCAGGAAAAGCCUCUAAGCAUCAGGUAACAUCAAAUCGUACCCCAAACCGACACAGGUGGUCAGGUAGAGAAUACCAAGGCGCUUGAGAGAACUCGGGUGAAGGAACUAGGCAAAAUGGUGCCGUAACU
rnacentral:rRNA from 1 species